rnacentral:rRNA from 1 species
AGUGAACGCUGGCGGUAGGCCUAACACAUGCAAGUCGAACGGCAGCACAGUAAGAGCUUGCUCUUACGGGUGGCGAGUGGCGUACGGGUGAGGAAUACAUCGGAAUCUACUUUUUCGUGGGGGAUAACGUAGGGAAACUUACGCUAAUACCGCAUACGACCUACGGGUGAAAGCAGGGGAUCUUCGGACCUUGCGCGAUUGAAUGAGCCGAUGUCGGAUUAGCUAGUUGGCGGGGUAAAGGCCCACCAAGGCGACGAUCCGUAGCUGGUCUGAGAGGAUGAUCAGCCACACUGGAACUGAGACACGGUCCAGACUCCUACGGGAGGCAGCAGUGGGGAAUAUUGGACAAAGGGCGCAAGCCUGAUCCAGCCAUACCGCGUGGGUGAAGAAGGCCUUCGGGUUGUAAAGCCCUUUUGUUGGGAAAGAAAAGCAGCAGGUUAAUACCCCGCUGUUCUGACGGUACCCAAAGAAUAAGCACCGGCUAACUUCGUG